rnacentral:rRNA from 1 species
GCCAGCAGCCAUAUCACCCUGUAGCCCAAGACUGGUUGCCCACUGAAGCUAAGCAGGGCUGAGCCUCGUCAGUACCUAGAUGGGAGACCUCCUGAGAAAACUAGGUUGCUGCUGGAA